rnacentral:rRNA from 1 species
AAAAAAAACCUAGCUUCUAUGACGUUAGCGGCGGACGGGUGAGUAACACGUGGGCAACCGGCCUGGAAAACUGGGAUAACUUCGGGAAACCGAAUGUAAUACCGGAUAGGAUCUUCUCCUUCAUGGGAGAUGAUUGAAAGAUGGUUUCGGCUAUCACUUACAGAUGGGCCCCCGGGGCAUUAUCUAUUUGGGGAGGUAACGGGUCUCCAAGGCGACAAUGCAUAUCCGACCUGAGAGGGGGAUCGGCCACACUGGGACUGAGACACGGCCCAGACUCCUACGGGAGGCGGCAGUAGGGAAUCUUCCGCAAUGGACGAAAGUCUGACGGAGCAACGCCGCGUGAGUGAUGAAAGCUUUCUGGUCGUAAAACUCUGUUGUUAGGGAAAAACAAGUACAAGAGUAACUGCUUGUACCUUGACGGUACCUAACCAGAAAGCCACGGGUAACUACCUGCCACCACCCGCGGUAAUACAUAGGUGGCAAGCGUUAUCCGGAAUUAUUGGGCGUAAAGCGCGCGCAGGCGGGUUCUUAAGUCUGAUGUGAAAGCCCACGGCUCAACCGUGGAGGGUCAUUGUAAACUGUGGAACUUGAGUGCACAAUAGAAAAGCGGAAUUCCACGUGUAGCGGUGAAAUGCGUAGAGAUGUGGAGGAACACCAGUGGCGAAGGCGGCUUUUUGGUCUGUAACUGACGCUGAGGCGCGAAAACGUGGGGAGCAAAACAGGAUUAUAUACCCUGGUAGUCCAC